rnacentral:rRNA from 1 species
CCUACGGGAGGCAGCAGUGGGGAAUAUUGGGCAAUGGACGCAAGUCUGACCCAGCGACGCCGCGUGCGGGAUGAAGGCCUUCGGGUUGUAAACCGCUUUCAGUAGGGAAGAAGCGAAAGUGACGGUACCUACAAAAGAAGCACCGGCUAACUAUGUGCCAGCAGCCGCGGUAAUACAUAGGGUGCAAGCGUUGUCCGGAUUUAUUGGGCGUAAAGAGCUCGUAGGUGGUUAGUUACGUCGGAUGUGAAAAUCAGAGGCUCAACCUCUGACCUGCAUCCGAUACGGGUUAACUAGAGUGUGGUAGGGGAGACUGGAAUUCCUGGUGUAGCGGUGGAAUGCGCAGAUAUCAGGAGGAACACCAAUGGCGAAGGCAGGUCUCUGGGCCAUUACUGACACUGAGGAGCGAAAGUGCGGGGAGCGAACAGGAUUAGAUACCCGAGUAGUC